rnacentral:rRNA from 1 species
UGGGGAAUAUUGGACAAUGGGCGAAAGCCUGAUCCAGCCAUGCCGCGUGUGUGAAGAAGGUCUUCGGAUUGUAAAGCACUUUAAGUUGGGAGGAAGGGCAGUAAGCGAAUACCUUGCUGUUUUGACGUUACCGACAGAAUAAGCACCGGCUAACUCUGUGCCAGCAGCCGCGGUAAUACAGAGGGUGCAAGCGUUAAUCGGAAUUACUGGGAGUAAAGCGCGCGUAGGUGGUUCGUUAAGUUGAAUGUGAAAGCCCCGGGCUCAACCUGGGAACUGCAUCCAAAACUGGCGAGCUAGAGUAGGGCAGAGGGUGGUGGAAUUUCCUGUGUAGCGGUGAAAUGCGUAGAUAUAGGAAGGAACACCAGUGGCGAAGGCGACCACCUGGGCUCAUACUGACACUGAGGUGCGAAAGCGUGGGGAGCAAACAGG